GUAUUUAAACCCUCCUCAGUUUGCAGUUCAGUGUCCUGUAUUCUCUUUAUGCUGCUGAUCAACUCACCCUCUGUGAUGUCCCACGGCACACCUCCCAGGAACACUUUACAGGAGUAAACAGGGUUUUUGUAGUGGCGUGGAGGAAGUCGCCCUUCCCAGGUAACGAGGGUUUGUUCAAGCCCAAAGUGUCCCAGCCGGGCCAGAUGGGACCUGUGGACCAGCACCCAACCGCUGAUCCCUCAGCCUGAGCACUGGGAGCGUUCGUGAAGGUGUUCAGGGGAUUCCGCUCCAAACGGCCAACUGCGUCCAG